rfam:Bacillus koreensis strain DSM 16467 scaffold1, whole genome shotgun sequence.
AGGGUAGUAUCGAAAGAACUGCACCUAUUAUCUGUAUUUUUUUAUGUGAAAUUAAAUAGGAUUCUGCCUUGAUCCAGAAUAGGGACUAGGACAGAGGG